GUUGGCGACCAUACCACGUUGAAAGCACCGGUUCUCGUCCGAUCACCGAAGUUAGUGCGUUGUGGCAUAGUGGUUAGGAUGCUCGCCAACC
rnacentral:rRNA from 1 species